CGGACGGGUGAGUAACACGUGGAUAACCUACCUAUAAGACUGGGAUAACUUCGGGAAACCGGAGCUAAUACCGGAUAAUAUAUUGAACCGCAUGGUUCAAUAGUGAAAGACGGUUUUGCUGUCACUUAUAGAUGGAUCCGCGCCGCAUUAGCUAGUUGGUAAGGUAACGGCUUACCAAGGCAACGAUGCGUAGCCGACCUGAGAGGGUGAUCGGCCACACUGGAACUGAGACACGGUCCAGAAUCCUACGGGAGGCAGCAGCC
rnacentral:rRNA from 1 species